CGGGUUUUAUUCGGAUAAUAAUAAUCGGAUUUGGGACUGAUUCGGAUAAUUUAAAUUAAUUUUUAAUCGGGUUCGGAACGGAUUCGGAUAUUACUAAUAUAAAUUGGAUUUGGGUUCGGGUAGUUUAAUUUUCGCGGUUACCCUACCCGUUUACAUCCCUAGGAAAGACCCUAACGCCACUACCCUUUCUAAAUUCUUGGUCUUCGUGGUGCCAUUUUAUUAAUUUCUUCCAUUUUAGCUUUUGCAUUUCUUCUUUGGUGAAUUGGGUUCCUUUUCUUGUCCACUACGGGUGGAUUUGAUAUUUGAUUUGAG
rnacentral:lncRNA from 1 species